UAGAGAAAAUUGCAACUUUUGGCCCAAAGGUUUGAAUAAUUAAAUUCAAACCUAUAGUUUUUUUUUAAUAUAAUUUUGGGACUCACAAUCCCAUUUUUAUAUUAUUUUUCUCUCUUCCUCUCACGUUGCUCGGCGUUUUCUCGCAAGGGGGGAUUAUUUUCUUUUUCUUCAGAUUAUAUUGACAAAGAUAGUGGUGAAAAAGGAGUUGUGAAGGGGAACUUGUUAUUCAAGACACAAGGAGCGAGUUCGGCCAAGAAAGCACCAGAGGUGUAACUAUGGUGUAUGAGACACCAUCUUUUACGUUGCCUCUUAUUUUGGAUUAUACAAUGUAUCUUGUGCCAACUUAGGACAUAUCUUCUUUGUGAAGCAUGUAAACUCUAAUCCUUUUUAUUAAAAGUAUUUAUAUGACCAAGAGGAUUAUAUCUGUC